GCCGCGGUAGGCAAAGGAGAGAUGGUCGAUUUCCACUCGACCGCUGCUCAGCGGCGCAUCAUCGGCGCCCCACGCCU
rnacentral:tRNA from 2 species